rnacentral:rRNA from 1 species
AGAGUUUGAUCCUGGCUCAGAUUGAACGCUGGCGGCAUGCCUAACACAUGCAAGUCGAACGGAAACGAUGGGAGCUUGCUCCCAGGCGUCGAGUGGCGGACGGGUGAGUAAUACUUAGGAAUCUGCCCAUUAGUGGGGGACNUNUAGAAGAAAUUCUAGCUAAUACCGCAUACGCCCUACGGGGGAAAGCGGAGGACCUUUCGGGGCUUCGCGCUAAUGGAUGAGCCUAAGUCGGAUUAGUUUGUUGGUGAGGUAAUGGCUCACCAAGGCGACGAUCCGUAGCUGGNCUGAGAGGACGA